CCAAAAUCCAUCAACUUCUUAUCUAUUCUUCAACUCCAGAAUGCAAUUUCAUCAUUCUUUCAAAACCCGCCGUUGUCUUCUUCCUUCCACCAAAAGGUGUAAUUUCUUAUCAAGUUCAUGAUAUAAAAAUCUCAAUUCGUUUGAUUCCAUGGCCAAUUUCUUGAUAUCACAGCUUGUUGAAAGGAAAGAACCGAGAGAGCCGUGGAUCCAAUUCUUCCUCUUCCUACCAAAGUAUUAUUUGGCCAAAUUCCACGAAUGGACCUCCUGGGAGGUAGUAUCCGUCGUUUGUUCCCGCAAAAAAAAAGUUUCCAGAGAGGGGAAAGACGCGAGAAGCUCACGCGUGUAUCCAUAGUAAACACGCGUUAGGCUCAUGAAUGUUUCAAUUAAACACGCGAUUUGCUCAUACGUGUUUGAAUUUAUACACGCGAGAGGCUCAAGCGUGUUUCAAUGUAUACACGCGAUUUGCUCAUGCGUGUUUUAAUUUAUACACGCAAUAAGCUGAUGCGUGUCUCCCUUGGAUACAAAAUUCAGUCCAGACUGCUGCUUCUGCUUUCUGCCUCUCACAGAACGCGAAAACUGCUCUGCUUCAUAGCCCCAUUCAUCCCAACCAGCAAAAAUCGAACCCUAAUCCGACAUUUAGCUGCUCCCAUUCCAAUUUGAAGUGUUGUUAGGUGUGAUGGUGUUUGUGAGUUUAUAUUGGGAUGGGAAAAUUAUUCAGCUCCUAGGUUUGGGUGUUGCUUAUGAUCCCCCUCGUGUAAAAUCAUUUUCUUGCAGCAGUUUUGGAGGAAUAAAAAACGGUGUACGACGGGAAUUGAUUUUAGAGUUAUUUUAUUAAACUUGUGUGUUAUUAGUGCGUUGAUAUAAAAGCUCGAAAAAUACACAUCACAAUCCACAUGUA